rnacentral:rRNA from 1 species
GUCUUGUAAUUGGAAUGAUGGUGACCUAAACCCUCACCAGAGUAACAAUUGGAGGGCAAGUCUGGUGCCAGCAGCCGCGGUAAUUCCAGCUCCAAUAGCGUAUAUUAAACUUGUUGCAGUUAAAAAGCUCGUAGUUGAAUUUUUGCGUGGUGUUAAUAUUGACUAAUGUCGAGAUUGCACUUCGCUUUUGGGAUUUAUCCCUUUUUACUUUGAGAAAAUUAGAGUGUUUCAAGCAGACUUUUGUCUUGAAUACUUCAGCAUGGAAUAAUAGAGUAGGACUUUGGUUCUAUUUUGUUGGUUUGUGAACCUUAGUAAUGGUUAAUAGGAACGGUUGGGGGCAUUCGUAUUUAACUGUCAGAGGUGAAAUUCUUAGAUUUGUUAAAGACGAACUACUGCGAAAGCAUUUGCCAAGGACGUUUUCAUUAAUCAAGAACGAAA